rnacentral:lncRNA from 1 species
UGGCAUAUGGGGCCCAGACAAUCACUUUCAGAAGUUGUUGGGACACAUGUAGUUUUAGAUUGUAAGUGGAUCAUUACAGUAUUUUACACACAAUACCACUCCCCCCCUCUCCUCUAAGGUGACACUGACCCCUCGUCCUGUUUUUCAAGGUGACUUUUCCAAUUUAUUUAAUUCCGAGUAGAAAUGUCUGGGAAAAUUUAUGUCUUCGAUGUACUUUAUAAUCAUUUGAAUUCUGCAAGAUUUCACCCCCAAAAUGCUUGAAAUCGCAUUUCAGGGACUCUAGAUUUCAAAAUGUUUCCUGGGGGUCAUGCCCCCGAACCCCCCUAGACGGUCUCACACUCUCACGCCUUCGGCGUUCGCUUCGCCCACCAAAAAUUAAGGUCUGACUACGCCACUGCUAGCUAUACAUGACACAAACCGUAGGUUUCACCAGGGCGUAAUAAAACACACUGUGUUUUACAGCGCCCUGGUUUCACAUAUUUCACGGCAUGGUUUGCUUUCAAGACCGGUACCCUGGCUGUAUGUACAUCAUCUAACUGCACCUACAUAAGUAUACAUAUACUUAAAUACUAUAAGGAACCCAGUUUGCAAUAUUGCACGGCAUGGUCUACUUUCCAGACCCUGUGAAGAUAUAAGAAAACCAUUUACUAAAUGAGAUACAGGAAAAUUACACAACACAAAAUCACAAGCGACUGUGCAGGUCUUAUCGCCAAUGCCUAAUUUGCAAAAUCGCGGCAUGGUUAAAUCCGAUCCUGUGAUAAAUAUGCAUCAUCAAAUCACACCUAUCCAUUACCAAGUAAUAACUUUACAUACAGUACAUGCUAGCUUCAAUUACGAUAUUUCUCCAAUGGAUUGACAUACAAAAGAUACAAAACAGCGCACGCAUUAUACGCGUGCACCUAAUAUACAAUAUUUCACGGCAUGGUCCACUUUCCAGACCCCACUGAAAAUAUAAGAAACCAUCAAAUUAAUAAUGCUUAUAAGUAUAAACCACUAACCAAAGGUCCAAGACGCAUGUAGAGGUUCUAUUACCUAUCCCAAAAUUAAAAUACUAAACUUUAAAGUUAAUAUUAUUACUCCAUUCAGGUUUGCUGGUUUUUCUUUCAUUUCGCAGAUCUACAAGAAGUCGUUUCAUGAAGACAUGGGUGGCUUUGAUCAUGUUCAGGAAUUAAUUUGGUGCAGUUCAUGUGAUUCGCUGUUUACGUUGGCGUGAAUUUGAGGAUCGAUCGAUAAGCGUCUUAGCACACCAUUCAGUUGGAUGUUUUCGUGAAACCGAUUCUGCAGGCUGUAGAGCUCCAUUAUCCCAUGUGACCUAUCGCUAACAGAAGUGUGGG